GUUUAUAAUUUAGAUAGUCUGCUAAUUAAUUAUUUAGUUGUGGAUUCUGUUGAAUAGAAGCUACUGCUGACUUGUUAUUCUUCUGCUCAGAUUGGUAGAUGAGCUUGUUCUUUUGUGCAAAGAAUCUGCAGUAAGAAAGAGCCGUGAAGUUAUCCGCAAUCACAUUUUACAAUUACUGUUGUUGAUUCAGAAGUAAGAAAAAAAUGCCCUAUUUAUUAAUUGAUUUCAUUUUACAAAGCAUUUCUUUAUACAUUUACUUUAUACACAUGUGAAAAUUUACUUGGGUUCUCAUGCUCCAAGUAAAUUUCUUGGGUUCUCCUGCUCCAAUAUACAUUUAUGACAUGACACAAGAAAAGAAUAUGAUAUGGCACAAGAAGCCCACUUGUGCCUUUCCCUUCAAAGCAACUGCAUUUAAUGAUAUGCAUUUAACGAGCAGAAAUAUCAAUGGUCCUGGGUUCUUAAAAGAUAAAUUCAUAAAAGAAAAAAAAAACACUUGACAGGAAGUAUACAUCAUAUGCUAAUGCCAUCACCAAAGCAUGAAGUAACAGAGGACGCUUGGUUAAUUUAUUAAUUUAUUUUUUUUUAGGAGGUACUCCUUGUCAUUUGCUGUCUAAUGUUUUUAAGGGAAUGCAAUGAAAUCUAGUAUGAUAAGGCUCUAAAGAUCAAUAUAACUGAAAGAAGUACAAGGAAUGCAACUUCAAUGAAAGCAGAUACAGAUAUGAUGCUCCAUUUCAAGGGAUAGCUAUAAAUUCUUCCACUAAACUCAUUUUAAUUUCAUUGGACCAAUCAAACAAAACAACAGAGAAGUAGACAACGAUGAGUUGUACCGAAUUAUAGAUGUGAUUAUAUGCAUUUUGGAAAUUAUGUAACCAGCACAUGCAUUAGAGAGUCGUAGUUAAGGCAGUAGAGCAUUCAGAAAGUUGAGUACAAAAUGUUGGGUAAUAAAGUUGAUCCAAUCAAAUGAGUGUGGUAAGGAUAUUAAAGCUCAAGGUAAUGCAUGGUGAGAAGAAAAGGUUACAAUGGUAGUGGGUGUAUGAUUGCAAUAGUUGAGGACAAAUGGAGAACAAUUUAUUGAAAUGGUAAAUGCAUGCAGAAUUAAAAAAAAAGGUGGUCCUUAUAUAUGAGUGAACCUU
rnacentral:lncRNA from 1 species